rnacentral:rRNA from 1 species
UACGUAGGUGCAAGCGUUAUCCGGAUUUACUGGGUGUAAAGGGAGCGCCGGCGGCACGGCAAGCCUGAUGUGAAAGCCCGCGGCCCAACCGCGGGACUGCAUUGGGAACUACCGGGCUGGAGUGCCGGAGAGGUAGGCGGAAUUCCUAGUGUAGCGGUGAAAUGCGUAGAUAUUAGGAGGAACACCAGUGGCGAAGGCGGCCUACUGGACGGUGACUGACGCUGAGGCUCGAAAGCGUGGGGAGCAAACAGG